rnacentral:lncRNA from 1 species
UGGACGGAUUUUCACAUAGCAAACAUCCGACUGCUGCCCGUGCUCCUGCAGAAACUAAGGUGGUGACAGCUGCCCUCCAGAGAAAUGGUAGCAUACUUCUACAAAAAUUGUAUUUAUAAUUCUGAAAGCUUUUCUCUUUCCUCAGGACUGACUCGGAAGUUAAAUUGAACCUGUGGUUGCAUAGAGUCCCCUGCACUUGACACAAGCCACUUAUUCGGCCUGAGAUACUGCUGCACUGGAUGACCUGUUUUGUUUUGCCUGCCACCAGCAUGGAAGGAGAGCUGUUAGUCUGUUAGCAGAUUGUCUGGGUUUUGCUGGGCACAGACAGCAUGGGCCUGGGCACAACAGAUGCUGGGCAUGAGAGCAGGAAUGGGACCAAGGCUGGGUAAAAAUGUGAAGGCAGGAUGGGAACUGGGCUUGUGUGAAACGGUUUGUUGUGGGUAGAUGAUCCAGCAUAAGAAUUACUUCAAACAAACAGAAGUGUACCGAAGCAGCCAUGCCUUUUGCACUGGGAGCUCUCACGUCCUCUGUAAGCAGGGAGGGGCAGCUCGUGUCUGGGCCUACAGGCAGGUUCUGGAAGAAGAGGCUCAGAAGAAGCAAGCAGAGGUGCAGGGGUGGAGAAGGAGCCAGGUUUGUUUCCCAUAGUUUGGCAGUGACAAGAAGGCCAAAGGGUUUACGCUGCUGCAGAGUGAGCAUGAGCAAAAAGCACAGAGGAAUUCCACGUGCACUGGUGGGGAUGUAUUACCCAACUCUAACCCCUGCCAUGGGCAGGGCUGCACCCAUCAGCUCAGGCUGCCCCAGGCCCCAUCCAACCUGGCCUUGAGCACCUCCAGGGAUGGGGCACCACAGCUUCUCAGGGCAGCCUGCGCCCCUCUGAGUGAAAAAUUUCACCCAACAUCUAAAUUAUGUCUAUAUGCAUAUGUGUGUCAGUGGCGUGUAGGGAAGAUGUCACCGUUGUACACACUAUAGAAUAGCAAUUGUAUCUUCCUGCAUGUUUGUAUAGUAGCUAACUUAUAGUAGCCCGACUGUGAAGGGAUCUGCUGGAUGUCCUGCCUAUGAAUAUGCUCCUUGUCCAACUCUAAAGAAGAGCACCUUUAAAGAAGAUCAGAAAUGAAACUGGAAAAUGAAAACACAGUUCGGAGUAUUUUCUCCCUGCCAAGUCUGAUAAAGUCAAAGGGGAACAGGAAAUCCUGGGAAGUCUAGCUGCAAAGAAUUUGUAGCUAUAAGGAGGUGUAGAUGUAUACCCUCACAUACGUAGGAGAUGUGAAAGAAGCUCUCUACUCUCUUCUCUGCUCUGGCUCAUCUAGGAGGCUCAUGUAGGAGUAUAGGAAACCCUGGUGUUUCCUAGUCCUUCAAUCAUAUGCACAACAAGGAAUUAAACUAAAGACAAUAAAAAUGAAUACAAAACAUCCCA